rnacentral:rRNA from 1 species
UACGAAGGGGGCUAGCGUUGUUCGGAAUUACUGGGCGUAAAGGGCGCGUAGGCGGCUGUGCAAGUCAGGUGUGAAAGCCCUGGGCUCAACCCAGGAUGUGCGCUUGAUACUGGGCAGCUAGAGGACCGGAGAGGAUAGUGGAAUUCCCAGUGUAGUGGUGAAAUACGUAGAGAUUGGGAAGAACACCAGUGGCGAAGGCGGCUAUCUGGACGGUUUCUGACACUAAGACUCGAAAGCGUGGGGAGCAAACAGG